GAUGAACGCUGGCGGUGUGCCUAAUACAUGCAAGUCGAACGAGGUGCUUUUGUAGCAAUACGAGAGUAUCCUAGUGGCGAACGGGUGAGUAACGCGUGGAUGACCUGCCCCAAAGUGUGGGAUAACAGUCCGAAAGGAUUGCUAAUACCUCAUGUGGUUAUCGGUUUUAGAAAGCGAUAACUAAAGCAGCAAUGCGCUUUGGGAGGGAUCUGCGUCCCAUCAGCUAGUUGGUGAGGUAACGGCUCACCAAGGCGACGACGGGUAGGGGACCUGAGAGGGUGGCCCCCCACAAUGGAACUGAAACAACGGUCCAUACACCUACGGGUGGCAGCAGUAGGGAAUAUUGCUCAAUGGGCGAAAGCCUGAAGCAGCAACGCCGCGUGUGCGAUGAAGGCC
rnacentral:rRNA from 1 species